CAGUCGCCGCGGGAAUACGUAGGGUGCAAGCGUUAAUCGGAAUUACUGGGCGUAAAGCGUGCGCAGGCGGUUUUGUAAGACAGAGGUGAAAUCCCCGGGCUCAACCUGGGAACUGCCUUUGUGACUGAAAGGCUAGAGUACGGCAGAGGGGGAUGGAAUUCCGCGUGUAGCAGUGAAAUGCGUAGAUAUGCGGAGGAACACCGAUGGCGAAGGCAAUCCCCUGGGCCUGUACUGACGCUCAUGCACGAAAGCGUGGGGAGCAAACAGGAUUAGAUACCCCCGUAGUCCCUGUCUCUUAUAC
rnacentral:rRNA from 1 species